UUUUUAUCACACAAAAUGCUAGCCUCCAACCUCCACUUUCUCUCUAACUUCUCUCUAUAAAUUCUCUUCCUUUUUUCCUCCUAAAAGUUCAUGGAGACUACUCUUGAGUUCUUUGGAAUCCUAGAGAAUAGCAAGGUAACUUUAUUGGUGGUCUCCUUCUUCUUGGAGAAGUUCGAGAUCGUUAAUAAUGGUUGAAAAGGAAAGCUAGAGGAAUCUACAAAUGUGUUCACACGCUUCUGCGGGAAUUCAGUUCUUAUAGUUUGCCCAAAAGGACUCAUCAAAUUAGCUUGGUCUUAAGUGGAAGCAAGAGCAUCGGAGUAGAUGAAAUAACCUUCAACAAUAGAUGCUUUACGUUGUUUUUCUUUGGCAUCAUUCUUUUUUUUUUUUUUUUGGUUCUUUCUUUUUAAAAUGAAGCAGUCUUGAAUUAUAUGAUCUUUCUUCUUGCAGUACUUAUAUCUCAAUUUCUGUUUAGUUUUCUUAUCUUCAUUUUGAUGUUGUUUUCCGUUCUUCCAUUGGUUAAUUAAGGUUUAUUUUUAAUAUACAAACCUUCUCAGUGAGUUGUUCCCUUUUAGAGGAUUGUAUUUCCAUUUCUCUAGUUUUAAGGGCUUAAAUAAUAAUGUCAAUUGUGAUAGCAUCUCUCUCAUAUUUUAGAGCAUUCUUGACUUCUCUAUAAGCUUCAUGUGGGAAGUUAAUAAGCAUAAAUGCUUCAUUCUCUUCACCAAGUUUUUCUCUAAGACUUUUAAAUUCCGUAACAAGUUUCUUGUAUUUAUCUAAAUUGUCUAACAGGGGCUUGGAAGGAUCCAUAUUGAAGUCACCAUUUAUGGGAGUUUUGAUGGAUCCAAGAGGGCCUUAAGAGCCUUUUGCUGACCAAGCAAAACUCUAAUUUUUGCCUUCCACAAGGCAAAAUCACCCUUACCAUUAAACUUUUCAAACUCCACUUUAGCUACUGUCAUCUCAAGAGGAUCACUAGCACAGGCCCAAAUGUGAAUCACACGUCCAAGAAAGUGUGUAAGAAGCCCACUUAGUAAGCCUUGGCUCGAGCACUGCUUUCAAUAGGUGGAAAGGAAAGCUGAGAAGCAUCCACAACAAGAAGCUGAGCCUUUUACACGUGGGUGGAUGAGAUGGAGAGAUCUUCACCUACUUGUGCUUACUCAAAUGAACGAAACCACUCUG